AAUUACCUUUGACAUUUGUGCAGGACUUAUUUGUGGGUAUUAUAGUGUAUAUCUGGCAGUUCUUUUGUGUAGUUUCUAGGAGUGUAGCCUGAGGGGUAAAGGAAACUAUUUCACACAAUUAUCCCGGUGGAUUUCCACAAAGAAUAGGAAGCCGUGCCCAGUUUAAUCCUGCCCUGUUUCCGUCGCCGCCUGGGGGUUUAGAAGUUGAGGUUUAUGCCGUGAGUUGUGUAGGCUGUAAGUUCUCUUAUCUCAACUUCUGCCACAGCAGUCCUUCAGAAUGCAACAACUGCUUUACAUUACCACAUCAAAGGCCAAGGGCUUUUGACAACAAUGGCUACAAGUCAGCAGCAGUGACACCGAACUAAGCACUCUGGUCCCAGAGGAACCCAACUUAGGUGAAUCAUCACAAAUCCAACAUGGAGGUGGCAACGGGAAGGGAGCUGAACUUCAUCCAACAAUCAGGCACUAAGAAACAACUCAACCCUCUGCCAAAAUCCCCUUCCUAAAAGAUGACCUAUUGAGAACUUGGAACAUGCCCAAGGUCCCAGCUGAGUCGGGACUUGACACUUCCUACAGCUUCUAGAAGUUCUUCUCUGAAGAGGGAAAAGACAGGAGCCCACCUAAGCUCCGAUGACAAUAGAAGACCACUUAAUUAGAAGAGGACAAAGUUGUAAAAAGUUUAGCUGCCAUGGGCCAAGUCAAACAACGCCUACCACAAACAGUAGCCCUCACACAUGGGUCACACCUAUUGGAACCCUCAUGGCAAGACAACAUGUUAACUUUCCCAGGUAUGCCUAUCACUCCAAGGCAGCACAAUCAGCACACAUCUGAGGCCAUUCUGAGGAAAGGUUGUACAAAUUUAUUGAUUGUCUGAGGGACAGGAACAGGAAGAUUUGUUCAACCCCUCCCCUUUAGAAAACAAACUGAUCAUGAAUACUCAUGCAUGUCAUAGGUGC